AUUGCCCUAGUAACGGCGAGUGAAGCGGCAACAGCUCAAAUUUGAAAUCUGGCGUCUUUGGCGUCCGAGUUGUAAUUUGCAGAGGGCGCUUUGGCAUUGGCAGCGGUCCAAGUUCCUUGGAACAGGACGUCACAGAGGGUGAGAAUCCCGUACGUGGUCGCUAGCCUUUACCGUGUAAAGCCCCUUCGACGAGUCGAGUUGUUUGGGAAUGCAGCUCUAAAUGGGAGGUAAAUUUCUUCUAAAGCUAAAUACUGGCCAGAGACCGAUAGCGCACAAGUAGAGUGAUCGAAAGAUGAAAAGCACUUUGGAAAGAGAGUUAAAAAGCACGUGAAAUUGUUGAAAGGGAAGCGCUUGCAGCCAGACUUGCCUGUAGUUGCUCAUCCGGGUUUUUACCCGGUGCACUCUUCUAUAGGCAGGCCAGCAUCAGUUUGGGCGGUUGGAUAAAGGUCUCUGUCACGUACCUCCUCUCGGGGAGAACUUAUAGGGGAGACGUAAUGCAACCAGCCUGGACUGAGGUCCGCGCAUCUGCUAGGAUGCUGGCGUAAUGGCUGUAAGCGGCCCGUCUUGAAACACGGACCAAGGAGUCUAACAUCUAUGCGAGUGUUUGGGUGUCAAGCCCGAGCGCGUAAUGAAAGUGAACGGAGGUGGGAACCUUUCGGGGUGCACCAUCGACCGAUCCUGAUGUCUUCGGAUGGAUUUGAGUAAGAGCAUAGCUGUUGGGACCCGAAAGAUGGUGAACUAUGCUUGAAUAGGGUGAAGCCAGAGGAAACUCUGGUGGAGGCUCGCAGCGGUUCUGACGUGCAAAUCGAUCGUCAAAUUUGGGCAUAGGGGCGAAAGACUAAUCGAACUAUCUAGUAGCUGGUUCCUGCCGAAGUUUCCCUCAGGAUAGCAGUAACGUUUUCAGUUUUAUGAGGUAAAGCGAAUGAUUAGAGGCCUGGGGGUUGAAACAACCUU
rnacentral:rRNA from 1 species